UGUUUAUGAACCCUAGUCACACCUCCCUGCAUGUGACUUGCACAGCCUUCCAUAAACACUUCCUGUAAAGAGAGCCCUAUUUAGGCUUUCUUUAUUGCAAGUUCUGUUUAAUUAAGAUUUUCUUAUCCCCUGCUAUGUUAUUAGCUUGCUAGACCCUGCAAGAGCCUCCUGUAUGUGAUUAAAGUUAAAUUUAGAGAUUGAGAUACAAUUAUUUAAGGUAAAUUACAUCUGUUUGAAAGUGAAACCAGUUUUUUUUUUUCAUGCAGGCUCUGUCAGUCAUAGCCAGGGGAGGUGUGGCUAGGGCUGCAUAAACAGAAACAAA